rnacentral:rRNA from 1 species
UACGUAGGGCGCGAGCGUUGUCCGGAUUUAUUGGGCGUAAAGAGCUCGUAGGCGGCUUGUCGCGUCGGUCGUGAAAUCCUGCAGCUCAACUGCAGGCUUGCGGUCGAUACGGGCAGGCUAGAGUUCGGUAGGGGAGAGUGGAAUUCCUGGUGUAGCGGUGAAAUGCGCAGAUAUCAGGAGGAACACCGGUGGCGAAGGCGGGUCUCUGGGCCGAUACCGACGCUGAGGAGCGAAAGCGUGGGGAGCGAACAGG